GCCUCCUUAGCUCAGUUGGUUAGAUCGCCUGCCUAGUAUCAUCUACUGGAUAGCAGGAAGUCAGCGGUUCAAAUCCGCUAGGAGGCA